ACACAUUACUUUGAGUUCACAAAUGUAAGUGUUGAUUUGCUUUGCAGGCUAGGUGGAGCUUGAGGUGAGCUGACUUUGUUUGCCAGUGGAUCCAGCUGACUUUGUUAUCAGAUCCAGCUAAAAGUUUAGUUAUUGGAAGAGAAGAAGAUGGGAGUUUGGAGCUGGCACCUGAAGUGGCAGCAUUCAGUCUGUGGACAAAGGAUGAGCCCUGGUGGAUGCCGGGAGAAGGUGAAUGCUGCUGACUCCACAGAGUGUCUCUGAUCGAUCUCAGUGAAGUCCAGGAGGACUUCCUUCUUCUGUGCUGUGGAAAAACCCCAAAUAUGCAGUAAGAUAACAGGUAGGGAGGGUGCAAAAAACCCUCAAGUGAACACCUACUCCUGAAAUGAGUGAGUUCAAUGG